rnacentral:lncRNA from 1 species
UCUCCCAUAAAAAAGCAAAUAUCUUCUCCGAAUCAAUCUGUGCUAUAAAUCCAAAAACCAUCAGAACUCCGAGAUGGAUAUGACUCACACUCCACCCCUAUAAAUUAAGGCUUUGGGACCCUCUAAGAUACACAAUCGACUCCUCACUCUCCUCUCAUUGCUCUCCAUCUCUUGACUUGAGCGUCAAAGGAUCUUCACCAGAGAAAAUCACCUCCGAUGAG